rnacentral:rRNA from 1 species
AUUGAACGCUGGCGGCAGGCCUAACACAUGCAAGUCGAGCGAGCGGCGGACGGUUGAGUAAUGGAUGGGGAUCUGCCCGUUAGCGGGGGAUAACUACUGGAAACGGUGGCUAAUAACGCACACUGUCGGAUUUCCGCAUGGGGGAUUAGCUAGUAGGUAGGGUAAUGGCCUACCUAGGCGACGAGCCCUAGCUGGUCUGAGAGGAUGAUCAGCCACACUGGGACUGAGACACGGCCCAGACUCCUACGGGAGGCAGCAGUGGGGAAUAUUGCACAAUGGGCGAAAGCCUGAUGCAGCCAUGCCGCGUGUAUGAAGAAGGCCCUAGGGUUGUAAAGCACUUUCAGUAGGGAGGCGUUACCGAAAGAAGAAGCACCGGCUAACUCCGUGCCAGCAGCCGCGGUAAUUC